rnacentral:miRNA from 1 species
UAAGGAGAAGUAAGUUCCGGUC